AAAUUGAAGAGUUUGAUCAUGGCUCAGAUUGAACGCUGGCGGCAGGCCUAACACAUGCAAGUCGAACGGUAACAGGAAGCAGCUUGCUGCUUCGCUGACGAGUGGCGGACGGGUGAGUAAUGUCUGGGAAACUGCCUGAUGGAGGGGGAUAACUACUGGAAACGGUGGCUAAUACCGCAUAACGUCGCAAGACCAAAGAGGGGGACCUUCGGGCCUCUUACCAUCAGAUGUGCCCAGAUGGGAUUAGCUUGUUGGUGAGGUAACGGCUCACCAAGGCGACGAUCCCUAGCUGGUCUGAGAGGAUGACCAGCCACACUGGAACUGAGACACGGUCCAGACUCCUACGGGAGGCAGCAGUGGGGAAUAUUGCACAAUGGGCGCAAGCCUGAUGCAGCCAUGCCGCGUGUAUGAAGAAGGCCUUCGGGUUGUAAAGUACUUUCAGCGGGGAGGAAGGUGUUGUGGUUAAUAACCGCAGCAAUUGACGUUACCCGCAGAAGAAGCACCGGCUAACUCCGUGCCAGCAGCCGCGGUAAUACGGAGGGUGCAAGCGUUAAUCGGAAUUACUGGGCGUAAAGCGCACGCAGGCGGU
rnacentral:rRNA from 1 species